GGUGGGUUGGCUAAGUGGUUAGAGUUUAGGUCUCGUAAUCGAAAGGUCACGGGAUCGAAUCCCGCUAGAGGCUG
rnacentral:tRNA from 1 species